GACGAACGCUGGCGGCGUGCUUAACACAUGCAAGUCGAGCGGAGAGAGGUAGCUUGCUACUGAUCUUAGCGGCGGACGGGUGAGUAAUGCUUAGGAAUCUGCCUAUUAGUGGGGGACAACAUUUCGAAAGGAAUGCUAAUACCGCAUACGUCCUACGGGAGAAAGCAGGGGAUCUUCGGACCUUGCGCUAAUAGAUGAGCCUAAGUCGGAUUAGCUAGUUGGUGGGGUAAAGGCCUACCAAGGCGACGAUCUGUAGCGGGUCUGAGAGGAUGUACCGCCACACUGGGACUGAGACACGGCCCAGACUCAGACGGGAGGCAGCAGUGGAGAAUAUUGGACAAUGGGCGCAAGCCUGAUCCAGCCAUGCCGCGUGUGUGAAGAAGGCCUUAUGGUUGUAAAGCACUUUAAGCGAGGAGGAGGCUACUUUAGUUAAUACCUAGGGAUAGUGGACGUUACUCGCAGAAUAAGCACCGGCUAACUCUGUGCCAGCCGCCGCCGUAAAAC
rnacentral:rRNA from 1 species